UGGGGAAUUUUGGACAAUGGGCGCAAGCCUGAUCCAGCAAUGCCGCGUGCAGGAUGAAGGUCUUCGGGUUGUAAACUGCUUUUGUACGGAACGAAAAGGCUCUGGUUAAUACCUGGGGCUCAUGACGGUACCGUAAGAAUAAGCACCGGCUAACUACGUGCCAGCAGCCGCGGUAAUACGUAGGGUGCAAGCGUUAAUCGGAAUUACUGGGCGUAAAGCGUGCGCAGGCGGUUAUGUAAGACAGAUGUGAAAUCCCCGGGCUCAACCUGGGGCCUGCAUUUGUGACUGCAUAGCUAGAGUACGGCAGAGGGGGAUGGAAUUCCACGUGUAGCAGUGAAAUGCGUAGAUAUGCGGAGGAACACCGAUGGCGAAGGCAAUCCCCUGGGCCUGUACUGACGCUCAUGCACGAAAGCGUGGGGAGCAAACA
rnacentral:rRNA from 1 species